AAGUCGUAACAAGGUUUCCGUAGGUGAACCUGCGGAAGGAUCAUUACAAAUCCACAAGUCACCCUUACCGGUUGACAACGUUGAACCCCAACCCCUCGGCGCAAGCCUUGAGGACCCUAUUUGACCCCAUGUUGACACUAAAUAUCACGAAUGUACCAACAAUCACAACCUAGAAACAACUUAUAACAAUGGAUCUCUAGGCUCUU
rnacentral:misc_RNA from 1 species